GCCCGAGUGGUGGAAUCGGUAGACACGACGGACUUAAAAUCCGUUGACCUAACGGUCGUGGGAGUUCAAUUCUCCCCUCGGGCACCA
rnacentral:tRNA from 1 species